rnacentral:rRNA from 1 species
AUGAGGCGGUCAUCUUCUUCUCUGUCCUCGCUCACACGCGCCAUGGCAAUCACCCUGGUGUUCGCCUGCUGCUGCUCCCUGCUGCCAUGCCCAUGCUCUGCUGUUUGCAAAGGGCGUGCAUUUGGCGACUUUGGUCAGGGGGCUGAGGCCGGGCCAAGGGGAGGAAACCAAUUAGAUCAGGGGGGUGGCGGACAAGCGCCAGGAGGCUAUUCAUUUAGUGAUCUUCGUGACGGGUCUUGGCACAUGCCGAGGGAACAAGGAGGAAACCAAUUUGCUCAAGGGCUUGGGGAGGCAAGGCCGGGGGGAGGAGGAAAGCAUGGUAAGUGGUCCGACGACGGGUCGUCAGGGGUUACACAAGGAAGCCAUGUAGGACGGAUGCCUCCUCCGCCGCGGGGCAAGGCACCGUGGUACCACAGGUGA